rnacentral:lncRNA from 1 species
CUUUUAUAAAGCAUAAGCAUGUCAGAGGAGCAUAAGGCGGCAUAGAAGCAUAGAUGGUCUUGACUUUCAAUCAUGUAUAAACUUAUGACAGAGAUGUGCGGGCUCCUUUUCACUCCCACAAAGUUACAAACCAGAGAAUCCGGCCCCAAAAUGACCAAGCGCGCCUAUGUGAACCAGAUCUCCCUAUUUUGUAAUUCUAGAGUAAUUAGGGUCUGUUUGGAUAUCGUAUAGGGUUGGGUUGAAAAUCCUAUAGGAAUCGAGCCUGUUGGCCUAUCCAGGUUGCAUUUUCUAAUAGUCUGUUCCAUAUCCAGCUCAGAUCUUAGUUUUUGUGCUGCAAGAAGAAAAAGCUUAUGGAGGUUUUUUUUUCUUCUCACAGGAUUUGGAUUGUGUAGUGUUUGGUUGAUAUAAGAUCAUGCUUAGGGUUGUAUAAUGCUUGGUUAAUACAAGGUCAUGCUUAGGAUCUGUUUGGAUAUUUCUGUAUGAUUGGGCUGAAAAUUCUAUAGGAAUCGGAUCGAUUGGUCCAUCUAGCUUAGAUUUUCUAAGUGCCUAUCCACACUCAGCCCAGAUACUAGCUUUGAGCUGCAGGAAGGAAAAAUAUCUAUGGUAGUUUUUUUUUUUUUCCAUACGAUUUGGGUUGGGUGGAGUUUAGUUGAUACAGGACUAUGCUUAAAUGGACAGUCCAAUUCAUGAAUUCUACAGAAUUUUUAG